UUCUUCACCAUCCGGUACAAGCAGCUUUGCUCGGUUGGUAUGGUCCGAUGGGAAACGCACAGUAGGCAGUCCAAUUGCUUUCACCUGGAUAUAAUUUUGAACAGCAGCAUUGAACAACUGAUCUAACUCAGAUCAGGGGUUUUAAGGUUCCUGCAAAAAGCCCAAUUGUAUAUUUCUUAGUAUGUUGUGAAAUUAUCCUGUACCUCUCUUGUAUCGUAGCAACAGCGCGAAUGUAGCCGGUUCAUGUGUUUUUUUCUUCACAGUUGAAGUUAAAAUGGGAAAGAAGAACAGAUGGAAAAUAAUUGUACAGGAAACUGUGUGAGGAAUGGACAUGGGGGCAUUGAAAAGAAUUACCAAUUUGUAUUCAUAUAUAUAAUAUGUAGCCAAAAUAUAUGGAUGAUAUAAUCUUCCAUUUUCUCACUUCUGGGCCUCUUUUUUUUUUUUUCACACCAAAAGAAAGAACACCUGGGAUCAUAUUGUAAUCAUCACAACUUCACAAGACAGGCUACCAAUUUCGGGUACGACAAGUUACACGAUUCGAAACCUGUACGAAUACAGUUGUUUCCGAUGUGAUAAACGCCCACAGGCACCUCCCUCGUACCCCUGACCAGAAGAUGGUUAAUUUAGCACGAUUCACUUCUUCCUUUAUCCUUUGAUGCUUAAAUUGGACCGCUUAUCCAAAUCCAUUCAUGAAGUCCAAUCAAUGAAACAAAUCUGCAAAUGUGAAUGGAAUCCCGACUUUUUCCGCCUACGCGGACGCUUG
rnacentral:lncRNA from 1 species